rnacentral:rRNA from 1 species
ACUGGAAUGAACGGCUAAAUGAGGACUAAACUGUCUCUUGUAGGCUGACCAAUGAAAUUGAUCUUCCAGUACAAAAGCUGGAAUAAAACCAUAAGACGAGAAGACCCUGUGGAGCUUCAAAACCGAACUCAUUAAACAUGACCCCUCGGAUUUUUAGUUGGGGCGACUUCGGAGAACAAAAAAACCUCCAAAACAUGACCAUCUAUCCACCUUGCUAAGGUCCACACACCAAAGCAACCACAUAAGACCCAGCAACCACCCACGCAUUGUCUGAUCAAUGAACCAAGUUACCCCAGGGAUAACAGCGCCAUCCCCUUCCAGAGUCCUUAUCGACAAGGGGGUUUACGACCUCGAUGUUGGAUCAGGACACCCCAAUGGUGCAGCCGCCAUUAAAG